CUGAGGGGUCUGCCUGUGGCUUCCGUCACCCCACUGUCCGCCAGGGCUGAUCUGGCUGCCUGGGCGGGGGUCCCGUCCUCCCUCACCGAUCCACGGGAGUCCCUCCCAAAGCUGUGGGGGCAGGAGCGGCUGUGCCCCCUCCUAGAACCUCCAGACAAGCUCUCCAAGUCAAAGAUGAAAAGGUCCUGCUGGGACGCAGCUUCUCCACUCCUUUCUUCCCUCCAGUUGGUGCUUUUUAUAAAACUCUUUUUU
rnacentral:snRNA from 1 species